rnacentral:rRNA from 1 species
UACGUAGGGGGCAAGCGUUGUCCGGAUUUAUUGGGCGUAAAGCGCGUGUAGGCGGCCAGGUAGGUCCGUUGUGAAAACUCGAGGCUCAACCUCGAGACGUCGACGGAAACCAUCUGGCUAGAGUCCGGAAGAGGAGAGUGGAAUUCCUGGUGUAGCGGUGAAAGUGCGCAGAUAUCGAAGGAAGAACACCCGUGGCGAAGGCGGCUCCUCUGGGACGG